CUUUUCGAGGUAGGAGUCGACUCCUGUGAGGUAUGGUGCUGGGUGCAGAUGCAGUGUGGCUCUGGAUAGCACCUUAUGGACAGUUGUGUCCCCAAGGAAGGAUGAGAAUAGCUACUGAAGUAAGUUGAAAAUUCCCUCUCAAAAAGGUUUAAAGCCAUUGGAUGUGCCACAAUGAUGACAGUUUAUUUGCUACUCUUGAGUGCUAGAAUGAUGAGGAUCUUAACCACCAUUAUCUUAACUGAGGCACCCAAAAUGGUGAGUUGGGGAACAUAGAGAGUACACCUAAGUUCACAUGAAGUUGUUUCUUCCCAGGUCCUAAAGAGCAAGCCUAACUCAAGCCAUUGGCACACAGGCAUUAGACAGAAAGCUGGAAGUUGAAAUGGUGGAGUCCAACUUGCCUGGACCAGCUUAAUGGUUCUGCUCCUGGUAACGUUUUUAUCCAUGGAUGACUUGCUUGGGUAAGGACAUGAAGACAGUUCCUGUCAUACCUUUUAAAGGUACAUGUUUUAUUGAUGUUAACGUUAAUUGAUUGAGCUACUGUUAGUGAUGAUUUUAAAAUUAAAGCAGAUGGGAAUCUCUCUGAGAAAGAAAAUGGAGAUUAAUCUUAAACUGAAACAGUAGUUGGGAAAUCUUUUAGAAAUCCACCUAUUACUACCUAUUGGUAAAGGAGAUUAAAUUUCUACAGGUAUGGAGAGUCGGCUUGACUACACUGUGUGGAGCAAGUUUUAAAGAAGCAAAGGUAUAGCAGUUCCAAGUAUUUUUUUUUUUUUUUUAGACAAGAGUCUAGCUCUUGCCCAGAA
rnacentral:lncRNA from 1 species